CUCUCGGCAAUGGAUAUCUCGGCUCUCACAUCGAUGAAGAACGUAGCAAAAUGCGAUACCUGGUGUGAAUUGCAGAAUCCCGCGAACCAUCGAGUUUUUGAACGCAAGUUGCGCCCGAGGCCUUCGGGUCGAGGGCACGUCUGCCUGGGCGUCACGCCA
rnacentral:rRNA from 1 species